rnacentral:rRNA from 1 species
AACGAACGCUGGCGGCAUGCCUAACACAUGCAAGUCGAACGAGACCUUCGUGUCUAGUGGCGCACGUGUGCGUACCGCGUGGGAACCUGCCCUUAGGUUCCGAAUAACUCCCUGUAAGGUGUGUUAAUACCGGUUAAUCUCAUCGCACAUAAGAUUUCUUGCUGUUGGGUGGGGGCGGGUUGGAUUAGCGGGUUGGUAGGGGACAAGCCGAGCAAGGGGACGAUGCAUAGCUGGUGUGAGAGGAUGACAAGGCACACUGGGAAUGAGGCACGGCCCACACUGCUACGGGAGGCAGCAGUGGGGAAUACUAGAGGAGGGGCGAAAGCCUGAUACAGCAAUGCGGGGUGAGUGAUGAAGCCCUUAGGGUUGUAAAGCUCUCUUACACGAGGUGAUAAUGACAGUACCGGGAGAAUAAGCACCGGCUAACUCCGUG